rnacentral:lncRNA from 1 species
GACGGAGGCUAUUCUGGCUUCAAUUGGUGACAGACCACUGAUUGUAUCCGGAGACGCACGCUGAGAUGCGCGAGGCCACUGUGCCUCCUACACAGUGGCUCCUACACCAUCCUGGACUGCUUCUCAUCUGAUCCUCACCCAGGAGACAUGGGACCGAUGUGAAGAACAGCUACUGGUUGGAGACAGAGGGUUUAGAGAGAUGCCUGCAACAUAUUGAGGUAAGCUAUAAGCAUGUUCUUUAUUUAAAAAAAUGUAUAUCGUUAUGCAAUGUGUAGGCCUACAUUAGGUACCUUUAGUAACAAUGCUUUUUAUUAUCAUCCUAACAGGCCCAUGGAUGCGUAGUUUAAACUCUGACCACCUGACAGGCAUCCAAGUGUGAGGGUGUUCUUGAGGGACUCCAAUCCUCAUAUCUGGCAUGAGUACUACCUGUGGCACAAUGCGAAAGGUGUGAGGAAACAGCUGUUGGCCAUCGCGAAGCCAGAGGUACUGCCAUGGGUGAGGGCAAUCACACACCACUUGGGAUACUGUGCCACCACUGCUGGUGUAAGAGUCCAGCUGGCGAAGGAAAAGGGGAUCACUGUAGUUCACCACAUCACAUAUGAGCACCCGCAACAGACCUCUCCCCCUACACACCUGAAGAGGAAGAAACACGACCCUGGCUGAUCACAGCAUCACCAGCUUUUGAGAAAGUGAGAAACAUCAUCCCCAACUUGAGAUUGCUAAAGGAUCUCUGUAAAUACACUACAUGUCCAAGAGUAUGUGGACACCUGCUUGUCGAACAUCUCCUUCCAAAGACAUGGGCAUCAAUAUAGAGUUGGUCUCCCUUUUGCUGCUAUAACAGCCUCCAUUCUUCUGGGAAGGCUUUCCACUAGAUGUUGAAACAUCGCUGCAGGGACUUGCUUCCAUUCAGCCACAAGAACAUUAGUGAGGUCGGGCAAUGAUGUUGGGCGAUUAGGUCUGGCUCGCAGU